CACCGUCUUUUCCACAAGGUUGUGACAGAACCAGAGGAGGCCAUCCAUGAUGAUCUCCUGCUUCACAACAACGUGCGCUGGCUGAGUAAAGGAAAAGCUACUUAGCCAUUCUGUGAGCUGCAUGACCAGGUUAAAUCUGCAGUUCCAUAGAAGAGGGAAACCAGUCGUGGACAUGGUGGAAAGGCCUUUACUAGGAAGUUUGAGUUGUUGGAUUUGGACUUGUCCUCUGGAAGGCUACUACACUUCAGCACACUGAAGAAACGACAGGCAGAGGUACCAGGCUGCAGCACUGUCACAGAGGUGAUGGAACAUUUCAUCAAGCAGCUGAGGGACAACUUCUCCAAAAGAUUUGAAGACUACAGCAUGCCCAAGAAUAUUGCGUUUGAGCAGAUUAUCCCGAGACUCCCGACACAAGGAUUCAGACACAGACAUCGCCUUUUUUUCUUUAAAUUAUUGUUUUAUGUAGGUUGCUACCAUUUUGGCCAUGAUGCAAAUGUAAGUAGGCCUAAUAAAUAAAUACAAAUCCCACUUCUAUUAGGCCAUUUUGUUUUCUUGUGGAAGAUGCUGUUCAGGCACAUAGCCUACCUCAAGUCAGUUAUUUUAUAUGGGCCUUCGCUCGGAAGAAAGACUCCAAUUAAGCCCUCUUGUUGUUUGUAAAGUCAAAUUAAAAUGAAGAUUAUUGUUGAAGUUAAUUACUCGACUGGUGUAGUUUUUCUCCAUCUGUUGCUAGGCAACACUUGCAUAACAAGUUAGCAAUAUUUUCAGCACCAGGCGCUGUUCACCUCCUAUUGAUUGCAGCUUUACAUUUCAGCACCUAAAAAAAAAUGGUCCGCUGCCUGCUUUAUUAGUUGACUGUCUCCUGCAUUCUCUC
rnacentral:lncRNA from 1 species